CAUAAUAAAAAGUGUGAGUGAAGUUGUCUAAAAUUAAUAUAUUCAUUCAAGAGUUUACUUGAGAUAUUUCCUCUACUUCAACAUGGUAGCAGAGCGUGGUUGGUUAGCCUGAGGUUCCAGAAUCUGAAUCCAAGCUCUACCGAAAGCAAAAUGGAUGCAACUAAAAUACAAAUAGGAUUACUUGAGGGCGAAUCAAACUGGUCAUCAUGGAAAUACAAGAGCAACUUACUAUUACGAAGUAUUCAAGGCGGUACUAGUACUGAGGUAGUUGAAGGAAAAUUAACUUUGCCCUAACCUUUACCAGCAACCCAAACUCAGAAAACAAAGUAUGAGAAGGAGUUGAAAGACUUCAAUCAAGCAGACAAUAAGUGCCAAAUGAUUGCUGCUAGACUGCCACUCAGGUAGAAAAAAGAAAAGUUGACGACCACUUAAAAAAUAGCAGAAGGCUGUACUCUCAAUAUAAUAUUGAACAAUUAAAUGGAUUUUUGGAACUUGA